CGUCAGUUCUCUUCCGUGAGCCCCGUCGCCAAAGCGCAGCUCUUAUCCAUCCCCAUCCCCCACCCGGAUACUACACGGCCACCCCAGGAUGCGCCGCCGCUGCCGCCUGCGCGCCCACCGCCGCCGGAUCCCCCCGCUCCCCACUGCCGGGACGCUCGCUCCCCCGCGCCACCAAGCCCCUGCUCAACCAGGACACGAGCGGCCAUGGCGGGCGUCCCUCCACCACUGUCGCUGUCGGAUCCCCUGCUCCACAUUGCCAGGACCCCCCGCGCGCCACGGAAUCCCCCGGCUCCCCUGUUCCACCAAGACCAGCGACCAUGGUGUCAUCCCUCCUCCACCACCGCUAGCGGCCAUGGCGGUCCAGCACCAGCACCGACCACUCUCUCGUGGUGGAAAUCUUGACCUCUUGACACUGCGCGAGCGCCCGAGCCACUCCGUCGUCGCCUCUGCUCCUCGCUGCUUGCGAGCACCUCCACGUCCAUGGUCGACCGCCUCCCGUCGUCCUCUGCUUUGUCCGCCCCUUGGCUAGCCGACGCCCAUGCCUCCUUGCCUUCCCAUCCUCCUCUGCUCUGGCCGCCCCUUGGCUAGCCGACGCCUGUGCCCCCUUGCCUUGGUCGCCUCUACCUCCUCAUGUAGCCCGACAACCACCGUCCCUGCUCCACCUCGCCGCGCGGCGGAAGCCGUCUCUGUAGCACACGCCCCGGCGAGCGUCUUCCAUCCUCCCGCGCGAGCCACAACGGCCGCCGGCGAACGACAGAACGGGCGCUAUGGAUAAGAGGUGCAAUACGACUUGCCAGGCGAGGACUCUGAUGUUGGCUUUCCAAGGCCUUUGCUAGCCAUGAGCUCCUUCGAGACGGCGCCCACUCCUUCUCUUUCCCAAAUAGGUUUGGGGAGGUUAUGUCGCACCCUCCUCCCCCGGUAUCUGGUGCCGAGGAGGAGACUAAUAUUCCAUGGCCUAGGUCCAGCCCUUGGCCAUGGAGAAAAGUACCGAGGACCAGGGGGAGAAAUUCUCCUCUGGUCACGAAGACCCAACGCUUAGCCACCCGACUUCUCCGCCCCCCCGUGGUUCAAGAGCCAUGGGACCAACAAGGGCCCCCUCCUCCAUCAACCGAGGGUAGGGCACCGAGGACUAUGCCUCAGAUGCUUAGCCACGGAGGGUCCAAGCUGAUAUCGCGUCAACAUGCGAUGGAGGAGGAUUUGAAUAGCUCCUCCAGCCUUCCCAACUACCAUGCCUUUCUCGGCAACGCAUUGACCCAGUUAUGGUCUGCCGAGGCUGGGAUCCUUGAGGCAAUCCUCAGCCUGGCUAAAGGCUUUGUGAUAUGUUUAUUAAACACUUUCUGUUUUCAUAUGGUUCGAAUAAUAUGCUAGGUAUAACUAGUAACCCUCAAGGAGGAUGCUGAGGCAUCGUCCAAAGAGAUCACACAAAUUAUAAAUAUCUGUUUAAACCAAGAUUUUAAUUAUUCUGAAUUUGUUGGAGAUCACAAUUAUAGUAGCCCCCGAGCCUUAAGUUAGUUUACCGAACUGGCUUGAGGGUCGAUUUAGCUUAACACUUUGAAGAUUUGGAAAUGGGUGCGAAUAUGCUGUAGCCCCCGAGACUCUUGUUGGCUUGAAGAGAGCUAACUAGAGUAUCAAAUCUUAAUUUUAAGAGGGUACUUUACUUAACUACUUUUGCGUGCCUCUUGUACAGGUUUCUACCUCCCACGCUUCAUCCAACUUAUCGGAGUUCGAAGAGGUGAAGUGCCGCCUUGCGCAAGCUGAGGAGGAAGCUCUCCAGCUCAUGCAAGGUGCUCAGAAAGCUCAAGUUUUAUCUAUAUACGGAUGAGAAGUCCCUGGCUGAUGUAUAGAUCAAGAUUAAAGAGCUCGAAUCAAAGUUGAGUAGUA